rnacentral:rRNA from 1 species
UCCUCCCAAGAUAAGGUUUCCCUAUUAGGAUCCUGGUAGACCACCAGGUUGAUAGGCCAGAUGUGUAAGCGCUGUGAGGCGUUUAGCUUACUGGUACUAAUGAUCCAAUCGGUUU